rnacentral:misc_RNA from 1 species
AACGCAUCUUGCGCUCCUUGGUAUUCCGAGGAGCAUGCCUGUUUGAGUGUCAUUAAAUUCUCAACCAUACCAACUUUGUUGGUUUUGGCUUGGACGUGGGGGAUUGUUUGCAGGCUUUCACAAGUCAGCUCCCCUGAAAUGCAUUAGCGGUGCCCUUUGUGGUCGUUACAGCUCUUGGUGUGAUAACUAUCUACGCCAUCAGUUGACCAUGGUUGUGCUGCUUCUAACGGUCUUCUUCAAUGAGACAACACAUGACAAUUUUGGCCUCAAAUCAGGUAGGACUACCCGCUGAACUUAA